rnacentral:rRNA from 1 species
AUUGAACGCUGGCGGCAUGCCUUACACAUGCAAGUCGAACGGCAGCACGGGAGCAAUCCUGGUGGCGAGUGGCGAACGGGUGAGUAAUAUAUCGGAACGUGCCCAGUCGUGGGGAUAACGUAGCGAAAGCUACGCUAAUACCGCAUACGAUCUAUGGAUGAAAGCGGGGGAUCGCAAGACCUCGCGCGAUUGGAGCGGCCGAUAUCAGAUUAGGUAGUUGGUGAGGUAAAGGCUCACCAAGCCGACGAUCUGUAGCUGGUCUGAGAGGACGACCAGCCACACUGGGACUGAGACACGGCCCAGACUCCUACGGGAGGCAGCAGUGGGGAAUUUUGGACAAUGGGCGCAAGCCUGAUCCAGCAAUAGCCGCGUGCAGGAU